GUUUGAUGUGUUGUUCUAUGGGAACAAAUGGCCCUCACCCUUAAAAUUUCAAUCCUCAGCCCAUGUCCAACAUCCUCUGUCUUCUUCCUCCCUAAUUUCCCAAAUAGAAAGUGAUGCGAUACACUAACUUGUACAACUCUGUGAAGCUCCUGAUCAAUCUCUCCUCCUAAUUUCAUUGUGUGAUACCCACUAGGUGUACCAUGCCUUCGCAGCUG
rnacentral:misc_RNA from 1 species